AAAUUGAAGAGUUUGAUCAUGGCUCAGAUUGAACGCUGGCGGCAGGCCUAACACAUGCAAGUCGAGCGGUAGCACAGAGAGCUUGCUCUCGGGUGACGAGCGGCGGACGGGUGAGUAAUGUCUGGGAAACUGCCUGAUGGAGGGGGAUAACUACUGGAAACGGUAGCUAAUACCGCAUAACGUCGCAAGACCAAAGUGGGGGACCUUCGGGCCUCAUGCCAUCAGAUGUGCCCAGAUGGGAUUAGCUAGUAGGUGGGGUAAUGGCUCACCUAGGCGACGAUCCCUAGCUGGUCUGAGAGGAUGACCAGCCACACUGGAACUGAGACACGGUCCAGACUCCUACGGGAGGCAGCAGUGGGGAAUAUUGCACAAUGGGCGCAAGCCUGAUGCAGCCAUGCCGCGUGUAUGAAGAAGGCCUUCGGGUUGUAAAGUACUUUCAGCGAGGAGGAAGGCAUUAAGGUUAAUAACCUUGGUGAUUGACGUUACUCGCAGAAGAAGCACCGGCUAACUCCGUGCCAGCAGCCGCGGUAAUACGGAGGGUGCAAGCGUUAAUCGGAAUUACUGGGCGUAAAGCGCACGCAGGCGGUUUGUUAAGUCAGAUGUGAAAUCCCCGGGCUCAACCUGGGAACUGCAUUUGAAACUGGCAAGCUUGAGUCUUGUAGAGGGGGGUAGAAUUCCAGGUGUAGCGGUGAAAUGCGUAGAGAUCUGGAGGAAUACCGGUGGCGAAGGCGGCCCCCUGGACAAAGACUGACGCUCAGGUGCGAAAGCGUGGGGAGCAAACAGGAUUAGAUACCCUGGUAGUCCACGCUGUAAACGAUGUCGACUUGGAGGUUGUUCCCUUGAGGAGUGGCUUCCGGAGCUAACGCGUUAAGUCGACCGCCUGGGGAGUACGGCCGCAAGGUUAAAACUCAAAUGAAUUGACGGGGGCCCGCACAAGCGGUGGAGCAUGUGGUUUAAUUCGAUGCAACGCGAAGAACCUUACCUACUCUUGACAUCCAGAGAACUUAGCAGAGAUGCUUUGGUGCCUUCGGGAACUCUGAGACAGGUGCUGCAUGGCUGUCGUCAGCUCGUGUUGUGAAAUGUUGGGUUAAGUCCCGCAACGAGCGCAACCCUUAUCCUUUGUUGCCAGCGGUCCGGCCGGGAACUCAAAGGAGACUGCCAGUGAUAAACUGGAGGAAGGUGGGGAUGACGUCAAGUCAUCAUGGCCCUUACGAGUAGGGCUACACACGUGCUACAAUGGCAUAUACAAAGAGAAGCGACCUCGCGAGAGCAAGCGGACCUCAUAAAGUAUGUCGUAGUCCGGAUUGGAGUCUGCAACUCGACUCCAUGAAGUCGGAAUCGCUAGUAAUCGUAGAUCAGAAUGCUACGGUGAAUACGUUCCCGGGCCUUGUACACACCGCCCGUCACACCAUGGGAGUGGGUUGCAAAAGAAGUAGGUAGCUUAACCUUCGGGAGGGCGCUUACCACUUUGUGAUUCAUGACUGGGGUGAAGUCGUAACAAGGUAACCGUAGGGGAACCUGCGGUUGGAUCACCUCCUUACCUGAAAGAA
rnacentral:rRNA from 1 species